CAGAAAAGCUGCCUGGGAUUCACCACCACAUGUGAAGAUUAUAUCUCAAAUGCACAAGGUGCUUCUAAAGGACUGUUUAGCAAAAUGGCUUCAGGGUGCCACAAAGCUGGUGGCUGUUCUGCUAAGGUGGCAGAAGAAAUGAAGGGCAGCACUGUGUUACAUCUGAUUGGUACAUACAUGUUAGGGUGCCCAGCAGCUGUUCCUGUGAGAUGUUAUCAGUGCAUUAAUGGAGGUCGCAGACUGGGAGAAUGUUUGGGGGGCAUUAGGCUGAACAAAUUGAAGCCUAGGAAUUUAGGAAUCACUGAACUGUAGGGGUUGGAAGGGACAUCGAAAGAUCAUUGGGUCCAACCCCCGGACACUAAGGACAUCUGAAAAGCUCUUCCAUGAAAACAGAGGAAGACUGUACUGAGGGCAAACACUGGAUUUCUGGCAGAGGGAGUUGUGGAGAAGAGUCUUCAGAGGAGAAGAAAGAGCACCAGGGCAACCUUCCACACUGCUGCUCUGCUUGGUGACUUAUUACAACACGCUUCUGCAACUGGUGACGUGGUGUUUUUCUGGAGAUUAAGGACUGUGACUGAGCAGAAUGGGGCCCAACUACAUCCCAGGAUCCAAAGCAGCAUCUUUGGAGGAGUAGUUCUUUCCUGAAGUAUGCAGGACUAUGGCAAUUUCCGUCAGAGCUGACCUUUGCACUUUUUCUUCUCAGAUCUGAAAUAAGUGUCCUUUUCAUUGCUAAGAUCUUGGCAGACAGACCACAGGGUAGCAGAUGAACCGUUUCCCAUAGAGUGUUAAAUUGUCUGAUGGCAAAUCUGAAAAUUCAGCUUGCAUCUGCAAUUCUGCAUUGUGCAAUACACAUCUUUAAUCAUCUCAUGAAAUUCUCAAAGCAGAGUUUUGGCGUUACUUGCAAAAUCCAAUUAACUCAGCCUGAUCCUGGGGUACCUUUACCCAUAUGAUCAAGGGAUGUCUCAUCCCCAGCUGUACCCAGAUCUGACACUGACUGGCAUCGGGAUUUUGAGUUGAUGGAUGAAACCUGGCUAGGAGCAAAGCAGAAUGAUUCCCCCAUAGCUUCCUCAUGUUAGCAUACGCAAACUGUAAUUCUAGUGAGACUAAAGUUUCCCUUUGAGAAAAGGGCAUUGUUCUAAGCCAGUCCCACUGUACCUAUUAAUUUCUAAAAAAUAGAUGAAGCUGAACUCUUUUUUUUUUUUUUUUUUUCAAGUGACCCUUUCCCAGUUACAGCAGCAUAUGCACAGCCUUUCCUGCCAAGCUUUUAGCUUUUUUUUUUUUUUUUUUUUUCUCCUCUCUAAUUGGCCUACCUAGGGGUUGAAUAAUCUGACAGUUUAUAUUUCCUGUGUUUAAAUUCUGCUGCAGGUGAUGGGCAACCAUUUUACAGUGUGUUUUGUAUCACUGCUGGAAUAACUGGGCAGGUUCUGAAGGUCCUCAAGCACACUGGGGAACCAGCUCACCUUGCACUGUAGCAAAGAAAUAGCAAUUAUCCAUUGUUUAAGCUGCAGGCAGAAAUGAUAAAUAAAUACAGAAAAAUGAAAACAUGCAAAAGCUCCACAAAGCUCAUGGAAAACUUUUUUUAAAAGAGCAGAUUGGUAAAAGAGUACCACCUCCCUCCAGUGCUAAACAGAGCGAGAGAGCACAUCUUAAGGGUUGUAAUACUUUUGGAGAAAUAAAAUGCAUUGUGAUUGGGAUAAUAGAGAACAUCACACAAUGACUUUCUGUGAGUCUGUGAU